rnacentral:rRNA from 1 species
UACGGAGGGGGCUAGCGUUGUUCGGAAUGACUGGGCGUAAAGCGCACGUAGGCGGUUUUUUAAGUCAGAUGUGAAAGCCCCGGGCUCAACCUGGGAAUUGCAUUUGAAACUGGGGAACUAGAGUGUGUGAGAGGGGGGUAGAAUUCCAAGUGUAGCGGUGAAAUGCGUAGAGAUUUGGAGGAAUACCAGUGGCGAAGGCGGCCCCCUGGCACAACACUGACGCUCAGGUGCGAAAGCGUGGGGAGCAAACAGG